AGGGCUGCAGCUCAGUGGUAGAACAUCUGCAUUGUAUGCAGAAGGUGCCAGGUGGAGUCUCAACCUGGCAGCUCCA